ACUCCUACGGGAGGCAGCAGUGGGGAAUAUUGCACAAUGGGCGCAAGCCUGAUGCAGCAACGCCGCGUGAGCGAAGAAGGUCUUCGGAUCGUAAAGCUCUUUUCUUAGGGAAGAAAAAUGACGGUACCUAAGGAAUAAGCACCGGCUAAAUACGUGCCAGCAGCCGCGGUAAUACGUAUGGUGCAAGCGUUAUCCGGAAUCACUGGGCGUAAAGGGUGCGUAGGCGGCUUAGCAAGCCAGGGGUGAAAGGCAUUGGCUCAACCAAUGUAAGCCUUUGGAACUGUUAAGCUUGAGUGCAGGAGAGGUAAGUGGAAUUCCUAGUGUAGAGGUGAAAUUCGUAGAUAUUAGGAGGAACACCAGUGGCGAAGGCGACUUACUGGACUGUAACUGACGCUGAUGCACGAAAGCGUGGGUAGCGAACAGGAUUAGAUACCCUGGUAGCACAGAGC
rnacentral:rRNA from 1 species